rnacentral:rRNA from 1 species
UACGUAGGGUGCGAGCGUUAAUCGGAAUUACUGGGCGUAAAGCGUGCGCAGGCGGCUUUGCAAGACAGAUGUGAAAUCCCCGGGCUCAACCUGGGAACUGCAUUUGUGACUGCAAGGCUGGAGUGCGGCAGAGGGGGAUGGAAUUCCGCGUGUAGCAGUGAAAUGCGUAGAUAUGCGGAGGAACACCGAUGGCGAAGGCAAUCCCCUGGGCCUACACUGACGCUCAUGCACGAAAGCGUGGGGAGCAAACAGG